GUCAAGUUAUCAAAAACAAAACAAAAACAAAAAACAAACAAAAACUAACCAGCACUGAGAGGUUAAACGGUUGUGGGGGGACCUUCUAGGAUAUUUGGGAGAUUGUGGGAAAGAUGGAAGGUGCCUCCAGUAUAAGAUGGAAGUAAGCCCCUCAAUGGAGUUUGCACCACAGUCUCCAUGAGCACUGCAGCAAGGGUGACACUUGCCAAUAAAGAGAGACGUGGAAGUUGUCUGUGCUAAGAGGAAACACCAGGCGAGUCUAUUCUUGAGAGACAGACAAUGUGUGGGAAAGACGGAAUGUUUAUGUCUGGGUGGAUUUAGGACCCUUUGAUGCUGCCGAGGUGGUGGGAGACACACUUUCCCAAAACUCAAAUGCAGAGUGACCAACUUCACAGACAGUAGACACAUGAUGAUCUCUCCACUCGUGUGCGUGUGUGCAGGUGUGUGCAUGUGUGUGACAUGUAAGGACCCCAAGUGCCAAAGGACAAGUCAACACCAAUUGUCUAUCCAGGCUUCCGUCCACCUUCUUCUCUUCACCCCUCUACUUUCAUAUUUAUAAAAAGAGACUCAAGGUAGGAAGAACCUUGGUGGGUGGCCCUCUAGACCCAGGUUUUCACAUAGUUAGCUGGCCUCUUGACACCUAGACAUACCCCCAUCCUGCUUUAUCACACAACUUCUCAGGCAUUCCUGGCAAAUAUGAACAGGAACCGUUAAUAUUUUUGAGUGGAGGGGGCAGGCUCUCUGGAAUCUAAGAGGGCAUCACCAUGAGAGCACGUGUGCCCGAGGAGGGCAUAAAAACUGGUCUUGGCUAUUGACACACACUACAAUCAGCAGGGAGUUUGGUUGUUAUUUUUAAAUACCAAACAUGGUGGGGCAGACCUGUAAUCCCAACACUGAGGAGACUAGGACAGGAAGGAUGCUAGUUCUAGGUCAACCCGAGCUAUAGAGUGAGGCACUAUUCAAGAUUAAAAGGUGGCUGGUGACGUGGCUCUGUGGAUAGCCUAAGGAUCUGAGUUUGAACCCUAGAACCCACCUAAAGCUGGAGAGGACUCCUAAUAUUGCCCUCUGACCUCCAUACAUAUGCCACAGCUUGUGUCCCUGCGCCCAGUGUGCGCACACACGCACACGCCUACGCACCCACAAAUAAU
rnacentral:lncRNA from 1 species